rnacentral:rRNA from 1 species
AUUGAACGCUGGCGGCAGGCCUAACACAUGCAAGUCGAGCGGAUGACGGGAGCUUGCUCCUUGAUUCAGCGGCGGACGGGUGAGUAAUGCCUAGGAAUCUGCCUGGUAGUGGGGGACAACGUUUCGAAAGGAACGCUAAUACCGCAUACGUCCUACGGGAGAAAGCAGGGGACCUUCGGGCCUUGCGCUAUCAGAUGAGCCUAGGUCGGAUUAGCUAGUAGGUGAGGUAAUGGCGCACCUAGGCGACGAUCCGUAACUGGUCUGAGAGGAUGAUCGGUCACACUGGAACUGAGACACGGUCCAGACUCCUACGGGAGGCAGCAGUGGGGAAUAUUGGACAAUGGGCGAAAGCCUGAUCCAGCCAUGCCGCGUGUGUGAAGAAGGUCUUCGGAUUGUAAAGCACUUUAAGUUGGGAGGAAGGGUUGUACGUUAAUACCGUGCAAUUUUGACGUUACCGACAGAAUAAGCACCGGCUAACUCUGUGCCAGCAGCCGCAGUAA